UACCCGGUUAGAGUCCGUGGUCCAGCUUACCUGUGAUCUGGUUUUGGCUACAGUACCCGGUUCGAGUCCGCGGUCCAGCCCACCCGUGCCCGACCUUUGGCUACAGCACCCGGUUCGAGUCCGUGGUCCAGCUUGCACGUGGUGUAUUCCCAAUUCCUCACUAAAGCUUCAGUUUAGUCUUGAUUACUCUCAUCUGUAGGUUGAGGUUUUGGAGGUUGAAGAGAUUCCGGUUAAAGUCCGGGACGUAAUGAGAUCUUGGAAUAUGAUUGGGAAUGGUUCAGUUAAAAGUCCGGAAAUUGGUCCGAGCACUAGUAGCCAGCGUUGAUCGAGCUUGGAGUAGACUUAUCCGGAGACGGGGGUGAGCACACGGCGUUUUGUACUAUUUCAGUCUCCAUCUGUAUAUAUAGAC